GUAGGUGAACCUGCGGAAGGAUCAUUAUUGAAUAAACUUGAUGGGUUGUUGCUGGCUUCUAGGAGCAUGUGCACACCUGUCAUCUUUAUCUAUCCACCUGUGCACCUUUUGUAGUCUUAGAGGUGACGAGCGUGAAACUAUCGAGGAAUCUUUCCUCGGAAAAGGGGUCGUGCCAUGCGCAAGUGCGGCUGACCUUGAUCUCGCGUGAAUUUCCUCUGGGACUAUGUCUUUCAUAUACCACGUAAAAUAUCUCAGAAUGUAUCAUUAGGUCUCAGUGCCUAUAAAAUACAAUACAACUUUCAGCAACGGAUCUCUUGGCUCUC
rnacentral:misc_RNA from 1 species